GUCCCUGCUAGGGUGGCUUGGGCCCCUGCCAAAACCUUUCCCUCUUUGCAAUGUUCUAAGCAAUGUGCUGACCCAAAAGAAACCACUCUCUGAUGCCAGCCCACCAGCGGAUCAUGUAACGCUAGCCAGCUCAUCCCCAAUAUAAUGGGAGCUCCUCCCAAGGUGGCCACAUUAAAAGCUAUCAGUUCAGUGUGCCUUGCCACCUUCAUUAUCAUUGGGACGGUCUGCAAGCUGACUUCUCCUCCCAACAGCUCCCUGCCAUCGAUCGUGGUUACCUGCAGGGGGUUGCUUAAAGGAGCGUCUGUAUCUGGUGUUCAGCUGCAAACUCUUUGCUCAUGAAAUUGCAGGAGCUGCCUGAGUCCAACAGCGCCUUUAUCUUUAGAGGGUGUCCGUUUGGGAGCUCUAGUGUCACUUCUAUCACUAGGGCGGGUUUAGGAGGUUCUGGAGUGGGCACUUUCACUGCUCUUUGGCCUGGCUGCUGUGCCCCGACAAUGGCAGCCAGGCGUUGGCUUUUAGUUGCUCCGGUAUUUUUCCUCUCUUCCCUCCACAGCUCCCACCAUCCCUUGCCAUUCCUUCCUCUGGGGGCAGACUCUGGCAAAGUGCCCUGGCUGUUGGCAGAGAUAGCAUUUCCGGGCGCCUUUUCCAUCCUUCUUUCCCCCCUCACUGGGCUUUGAAACUGCGCGCGCGCGCGCUGUUCCGAUUUCCAUCGGCUCUGCCGGCGGGACAGUUGGCUCUGGAAUUUCUGGAAUGCGGAACUCCUUCCAACGUUCCCCUUUCCCUUCCCGCCUCUCCAAUGCUCUCGCCUCCUGGCGCGCUCCUAUGGCCAGCGCUGAUUUGGUCAGCUGGUCCAUAGACUCCGCCCUGGGCGCCCGGGAAAGUUCAUCUUUCACAGCCGAAGAAAGCCCUUCUUCAAAGAGCAUUUGAAUGGGUUCCGCCGAUAAGUCCCACCCCAAUCUGUGUAUCAGCAUGGUGAACUCAGUCCAGUACUCACGUACAGAUCGGCUCCCCUGUUUGCAAGCCAUUAACUGUCUGCGCACCACUCCCUUUUCAAUAUCGCUGGAAAACAUCAGAUCCAUGGCGCGAAAGAACUUCAUCGUGUCCUUUAAGACGUCACUAUUAGCUGCCAUCAGGGGUCUAACCCAGUCUCUCGCCCCCUUUUCAAGAUGCCCAAUCACAAAAGCCACUCGUGAUUCCUCAUCAGGAAAUCAUCAAACUGCAGAUUGAGGGCAUAUUGCAUUUCUGUCCGAAAGCUAUGAUAGUCUUUGGGCUCCCCCCCAAAUUUUUGCACCAAUCCUGGUACCUUUCUGGCGAGCUGGGUGGCUUUCUCCCUUUGUCUGCAUCUUGAGCCCUCCUCUCCUCCAGCCUCGCCGUCUGCAGCGCCAGCUGGACCUCCAACACUCGGUACCUUUCUUCCAGGCUUGGACCCGCUCCAGCCCCUGCUUCUCCGGUUCCUGCUGGGUUGCUCAUUAUGCCUUCUCCUGCACAAGCUGCGUUCAAAGACUGUCGGAAUGCUGUGAUGGGAUUAUGAGCUGCUUGUGCGUAAAAUCGUAUUCCCUCAGAGUUUGUUCAAGUCCACAAACCUCUGUCUGUGACUGAGCCCCUCUGACAUGGCUCCUCUUAGUCACUAGAAGAUUCCGACAGUGGUUGCUUUCGUAAUCGCUUCCAACAUAAAAGCUCCUUAACGGAAACACGUCUUCUGGACUCUCUGCGUGACAGUUUCCGGCGAGGAGUGGGUGUCGCUACAGGAGGUCCGGAAACCUCACCACUGUUUUCGCUGGAAGUAUCUCUGAGCCAUCCCCCCAGCUCCCUUUCCCUCAGUUCAGCUUCUCUCCCCCUGCUGGUUUCCUCUUCAGCUGCUAAGUCUCUUCCAACCUGUCUGAGCCCUUUCACCUCCCUCAGUUCAGCUUCUCUCCCCCUGCUGGUUUCCUCUUCAGCUGCUAAGUCUCUUCCAACCUGUCUGAGUCCUUUCACCUCCCUUCCUACCGAUGGCAGUUCCCUGACA